GCUUGUCUCAAAGAUUAAGCCAUGCAUGUCUAAGUACAAGCCUCAGUAAGGUGAAACCGCGAAUGGCUCAUUAAAUCACACCUAAUCUACUGGAAAGUUACUAGUUACUUGGAUAACUGAGGUAAUUCUUGAGCUAAUACAUGCGAAAAAUCUCGACUCACGGAGAGAUGCUUUUAUUAGAUCAAAACCAAACGGCUUCGGCCGUCUCAUUGGUGAAUCAUAAUAACUUCGCAAAUCGCAGUAAUACUGCGAUAAAUCAUUCAAGUUUCUGCCCUAUCAUGCUCUCGAUGGUAGUGUAUUGGACUACCAUGGCUCUCACGGGUAACGGGGAAUUAGGGUUCGAUUCCGGAGAAGGAGCCUGAGAAACGGCUACUACAUCUAAGGAAGGCAGCAGG
rnacentral:rRNA from 1 species